rnacentral:rRNA from 1 species
AACGAACGCUGGCGGCAGGCCUAACACAUGCAAGUCGAGCGAGGUAGCAAUACCUAGCGGCGGACGGGUGAGUAACGCGUGGGAACGUACCCUUUGGUUCGGAAUAGCCCCGGGAAACUGGGAGUAAUACCGGAUACGGUCGAGAGACGAAAGAUUUAUCGCCGAAGGAUCGGCCCGCGUUGGAUUAGGUAGUUGGUGGGGUAAUGGCCUACCAAGCCGACGAUCCAUAGCUGGUUUGAGAGGAUGAUCAGCCACACUGGGACUGAGACACGGCCCAGACUCCUACGGGAGGCAGCAGUGGGGAAUCUUGUGCAAUGGGCGCAAGCCUGACACAGCAACGCCGCGUGCGGGAAGAAGGCCUUCGGUCGUAAACCGCUUCAGCAGGACGAAAAUAGACGGUACCUGCAGAAGAAGGUGCGGCCAACUACGUG